rnacentral:rRNA from 1 species
AGUGAACGCUGGCGGCAGGCCUAACACAUGCAAGUCGAACGGCAGCACAGUAAGCGCUUGCUCUUACGGGUGGCGAGUGGCGGACGGGUGAGGAAUACAUCGGAAUCUACUUUUUCGUGGGGGAUAAUGUAGGGCAACUUACGCUAAUACCGCAUACGACCUACGGGUGAAAGCAGGGGAUCUUCGGACCUUGCGCGAUUGAAUGAGCCGAUGUCGGAUUAGCUAGUUGGCGGGGUAAAGGCCCACCAAGGCGACGAUCCGUAGCUGGUCUGCGAGGAUGAUCGGCCAAAUUGGAACGGAAACACGGUCCAGACUCCUACGGGAGGAGGCAGUGGGGAAUAUUGGACAAUGGGCGCAAGCCUGAUCCAGCCAUACCGCGUGGGUGAAGAAGGCCUUCGGGUUGUAAAGCCCUUUUGUUGGGAAAGAAAAGCAGCAGGUUAAUACCCCGCUGUUCUGACGGUACCCAAAGAAUAAGCACCGGCUAACUUCGUG